CACGCCGUAAACGUUGGAUACUAGGUGUGGGAUUCGAUCAACGGAUUCCGUGCCGAAGUUAACGCAUUAAGUAUCCCGCCUGGGGAGUACGGCCGCAAGGCUAAAACUCAAAGGAAUUGACGGGGGCCCGCACAAGCGGUGGAGUAUGUGGUUUAAUUCGAUGCAACGCGAAGAACCUUACCUAGGUUUGACAUGCAGGGUAAUGGAAUGAAAGUUCCUGAUCCUUAGGGAUCCUGCACAGGUGG
rnacentral:rRNA from 1 species